rnacentral:rRNA from 1 species
AUUGAACGCUGGCGGCAUGCCUUGCACAUGCAAGUCGAACGGCAGCGGACCUUCGGGUGCCGGCGAGUGGCGAACGGGUGAGUAAUGCAUCGGAACGUACCUUUCAGUGGGGGAUGACGUAGCGAAAGUUACGCUAAUACCGCAUAUUCUGUGAGCAGGAAAGCAGGGGAUCGCAAGACCUUGCGCUGAUUGAGCGGCCGAUGUCAGAUUAGCUAGUUGGUGAGGUAAAGGCUCACCAAGGCGACGAUCUGUAGCGGGUCUGAGAGGAUGAUCCGCCACACUGGGACUGAGACACGGCCCAGACUCCUACGGGAGGCAGCAGUGGGGAAUUUUGGACAAUGGGGGCAACCCUGAUCCAGCCAUGCCGCGUGAGUGAAGAAGGCCUUCGGGUUGUAAAGCUCUUUCGGCCGGGAAGAAAUCGCACAGGCUAAUACCUUGUGUGGAUGACGGUACCGGAAUAAGAAGCACCGGCUAACUACGUGCCAGCAGCCGCGGUAACAC